CUGAACAAGCUCAAAUCUCUCAGCCUGUCUUCAUAGGAGAGGUGCUGCAGCCCUUUGAUCAUCUUUGUGGCCUCCUCUGGACCCACCCCAAUAGAUUCUGUUUCUUUUUUUGUGUUGAGAACCCCAGGCCUGGAUGCGGUACUUCAGAUGGGAUUUGCAAGGGCAGAGGAGAGAGGAACAAUCACCUCCCUCUCCCUGCUGGCCACCAUCUUUUAAUGCAGCUCAGGGUACUGUUGGCCUUCCAGGCAGCAAGCGUGUACUGCUGACUCGUGUCCAGCUUUUCAUCCACCAGAACACCCAAAUCCAUCUCUGCGGAGCUGCACUCAAUGAGUUCUUCUCCUAGCCUAUGCACAUAUCUGGGACUGACCAGACCCAGUUCCUGUUCUAGUCUCUGGGAAGGAAAAUACAAGGUACAGCAAAUAGCUACAGUCCAUUUGGUGUUCUCAGUCUUUAGCCCUAAGCAGAUUUUUUGAAAUGGUUCAGUUGAUUCAAAACCAAGGCAAACAAGAUGUUAGUUUUAGAGUGAAGGGGGAAAAAGAAGCUUUCAAAAGCUACAGGUAUAUAUACAGAGACGCAGACUGUACAUUUUGCCAAAUCUACUGCCAUCUGCAGCCUUAACUUUGGCAUUCUAGGCCUCCUUCUAGUUUGACUAUACAAAUGUCUCAGCUUCUGUUGAGUUGCUCAUUUGCAGCUGACAUGUUGCCGCUUAAAAGCAGUGGCUCAUUUCUGGCUGAGCUCCAUACUGGGCCCUGUAACUGUUCUCCGUAUUUGCCUGUUGAGCAUUAAGUAUUUUAUUACUGGGUGGAGCUUUUUCUAAAGUGUAUCUCCUAUAAAUAUAUCCUAUGAAAGGAUGUAUAAAUAUACUGUAUUUACCCUACCAUGAUGCUGUUUUAGUCAUGCUGUUUGAGUCAUAUCAGUACACUGUAUCAGAAUAACACAUGAAAGUCAGUGGAGUAGGGACUGCUCCUAUGUUCACUUGGAAAAAACAAAAGUAGUAGAGUGCAAAGAAUGCUUCACACUUAUUUUUUCACUUGUAAUACACAACUGAUGGCAGAAUACCUCACUAGCAGAAGCUGGUGUUGUGCAUUUGGCAGUUCUGUCAGAUCUAAUUUACGAGGGAGAGGAGGAGAAAAGAAAAAGAAAAAGAAAAAGAAAAAGAAAAAGAAAAAGAAAAAGAAAAAGAAAAAG
ensembl:lncRNA